AUAACCUCGGGAAGCUGAGUAUAAUGCCCGAUAGAACAUUAUGCCUGGAAGGGUUUAUGUUCCAAAUGAUUUAUCGCCGUAGGAUGGGACUGCGACCUAUCAGCUUGUUGGUGAGGUAAUGGCCCACCAAGGCGAUUACAGGUACGGGCUCUGAGAGGAGAAGCCCGGAGAUGGGUACUGAGACACGGACCCAGGCCCUAUGGGGCGCAGCAGGCGAGAAAACUUUGCAAUGUGCGAAAGCACGACAAGGUUAAUCCGAGUGAUUUCUGCUAAGAAAUCUUUUGCCAGUCAUAAAACCACUGGUGAAUAAGGGGUGGGCAAGUUCUGGUGUCAGCCGCCGCGGUAAAACCAGCACCUCAAGUGGUCAGGAUGAUUAUUGGGCCUAAAGCAUCCGUAGCCGGCUUUGUUAGUUUUCGGUUAAAUCCAUGUGCUCAACGCAUGGGCUGCCGAAAAUACUGCAUAGCUAGGGAGUGGGAGAGGUAGACGGUACUCAGUAGGAAGGGGUAAAAUCCUUUGAUCUAUUGAUGACCACCUGUGGCGAAGGCGGUCUACCAGAACACGUUCGACGGUGAGGGAUGAAAGCUGGGGGAGCAAACCGGAUUAGAUACCCGGGUAGUCCCAGCUGUAAACGAUGCAGACUCGAUGAUGCAUUGGCAUAAUAGCCAGUGCAGUGUCGCAGGGAAGCCGUUAAGUCUGCCGCCUGGGAAGUACGUACGCAAGUAUGAAACUUAAAGGAAUUAGCGGGGGAGCACCACAAGGGGUGAAGCCUGCGGUCAAU
rnacentral:rRNA from 1 species